UCCCUGUAGUGGGGCACCCAGUCCCUGCUGGGGCCUGCCAGGGCACGACCUUGUAUGCCUUUUUCCUUGGCAGCAGCAGACAUAUUCCUUGGCGAUGGUGAUGACCACAUCUGGGACAUUGUAGGGAGUAUCUAUUUUUAACCUUACUCUGGCUCAGGAGGUUGCCCAGUCUGGUGACCUUACCUCUAGAAACUGAGUGCCAGGAAAGGAAGAGUCAGAACUGAGGCCUGAAGCUAGGUCAGCCUGGGCCUUCAAUAUUAUCUGGGACCCGGAAACAUUUGUUCAACAAGAUAAAAGUCCUUUGUGUAAGGUGCCAUAGUCACCCCACUCCCACAAAAUCAAACAUGCAAGAGACUUGGAACAGAUUCUACUCCUGGCCCGCCAGACUCUCAGGGCAGGUCCCAGAGCCCCACCUUGUCCUCGUGCAGCGCCAGGUGAUGUGUGGCCAACAUGCGGAUUCCAAGCCUCGAAGUCAGCGUCUUGUCCAAGAAGUAGCGGACAAGCUUUUCAUCCUGUAAAGAGUGAGGCCUCAGAAUCCCAUGCCCUUCCCAGCCUCCAGCAGGCCCUGCCCCUCCUUCGCUGCCCCAACCUGUAUGUGCUUCCGGCUCUCACGCAGGCCCUCUGCCAAGAGGGUCACCACAUCCUUGUGGUCAUCCAGCAGCUGUCGCACCAGCUGGCAGUACUGAGCCUCUUCCGCCUGGUCCUUGAUCUGCAGGUCACAGAGUCAUGAGCAAGGGUGGUCUGAGUCCAACCUCUCAGCCCCUCACCCUGCUUUAGCCCAGCCCUCACCGGAGCGAAGUCUGUCAGCUUCUGGAAGGCACGGAUGUACAGCUCAUGCUGCAAGGAAGAGGUGUGGAAAUUCACAGGGCUGCAUGGCCACUGAGCAGAUGCCACCCACACCUACCCAUGGAGAUACCCAACCUGGUCAACCAUGUAUCAAACCCCCACUGUGACACUUCCGCCCCCAUGAAUACACCUUUGGCUUCUAAAGGCCUAGGGCUGAA